GAUAGGCUAGCUAUCCUAGAAGACUAUGCGGACCCGUUUGAUGUUCAGGAGACUGGUGAAGGCUCAGCAGGAGCUUCAGGAGCCCCAGAGAAGGUCUCUGAAAAUGAUGGCUACAUGGAGCCCUAUGAGGCUCAAAAGAUGAUGGCCGAGAUCCGGGGCUCCAAGGAGACAGCAACUCAGCCCUUGCCUCUGUAUGACACACCCUAUGAGCCAGAGGAGGAUGGGGCCACCCCAGAAGGUGAGGGGGCCCCCUGGCCCCGGGAGUCCCGCCUGCCAGAGGAUGAUGAGAGGCCCCCCGAGGAGUAUGACCAGCCCUGGGAGUGGAAGAAGGAGCGGAUUUCCAAAGCCUUUGCAGCCAGACUGGAAAACCACAGGAUUCUAAUAUUCUUCCUGUAAAGCACACACCAUUGAGGAUGGGCCGUUUAUCUCCAGAAGUCUCCUUGGAGAAUCAAUACUGUUUGGAUUGCUUAAUGGGAAAAUCUAUGCUCGUCAUUAGGAAACCUCGUUAGCAGUCCAGCAGCCGCCAGUGGCAUCACUCUUCUCAGGAUGGGGGGUGGGGAUUAAAUUUCAAUAAAAC
rnacentral:sRNA from 1 species